rnacentral:rRNA from 1 species
CGAAGGGGGCAAGCGUUGUUCGGAAUUACUGGGCGUAAAGGGCGCGUAGGCGGCUUAUCAAGUCAGGCGUGAAAUUCCCGGGCUCAACCUGGGGGCUGCGCUUGAUACUGAUUGGCUUGAAUGCGGGAGAGGAUAGUGGAAUUCCCAGUGUAGAGGUGAAAUUCGUAGAUAUUGGGAAGAACACCGGUGGCGAAGGCGGCUAUCUGGCCCGUAAUUGACGCUGAGGCGCGAAAGCGUGGGGAGCAAACAGGAUUAGAUACCUGGUAGUCCACGCCGUAAACGAAUGAAUAGCUAGACGUUGGCGAGCAUGCUCGUCAGUGUCGGAGCUAACGCAUUAAGCAUUCCGCCUGGGGAGGUACGGUCGCAAGAUUA